UGGACUUUCUACCACUCUGGAGUUGUUCCCAUUGGUGAUCUCCGCUUCGCUGGAGCGGUUCACAGCCGAGUGUGAAGCAGCUGGGAUCAGAAUCAGCUCCCUUAAAUCCGAGACCAUGGUCUUGGGUCGGAAAAGGGUAGAAUGCCUUCUCCAGGUCAGGAAUGAGGUCCUGCCUCAAGUGGAGGACUAUUUUCAAAGUUUUACAAAUAUUCAAAUCAAAUAUCAUCAACGGGUAAACAUCCUUAUUUCCAACAAGAUAACCAGAAUCUGUACCGACUCCGAAGAACCAGCAUCUCUGCUCCACCCAUGGUGAUGUGAUGUUGUACAUUAGAGCUUGUUCUCUCAGCAGUUUGAGUUCAUAGAUCUGUUCUCCUAUAGGGUCAGUCAAUACUAAAGUUAAUGGGUUUUAGCAGAAACCAAUGUGGUGAGUUUUAUUUGUUUAGAAGAUCUCCAACAAAGCUAGCAAAGGACAUCCACAUCUUCAGUUUUCACUGUUUAAAUGAGAUUCUCCACUGGACUGGCUGGAGAACAUGUUGAUCUCCUCAGCUGUAGCUGACUUCUAUGAUGCCUGCAGCUCCAGGAAACACCUCAGAUGUGACUAAAAACCCAAUCUGAGCCAGCGACCAGCUGCUGGAAGGCUUCUUUCCAUCCUGUUGAAGUCAAGUUGUGUCCUCCACUAGAGGGCGACAUCCUCCAGUAGGCGGUGCAUUACUUGUGCACUGUGUUCAAGCAUUGUGUCAAUAACAAGUGGUGGUGUUGAACAGCAGCUAGUUUCUCCUGUUGACUGAAACCUUGUUGUACAGAUGGAACAUUGGCUGUGGAUUCUUCUUGCUGCUCUUUUCUCUGAGUGUAAAGGAGAUAAAGUGGUCCAGGAUGAAGGAGGUGUUGCUGCUGAAGGAACCUCCACUACACUUCCAUGUACUUUUGAUAAAAGUGAUUAUUUCAACGUUCAUUUGUUUUGGUACAAACAAGAAGAAAAUCAGAUUCCAAAGUACGCUUUGUACCGAGACACAAUUGGGACAAGUAACAAUGCUCCAGAGUUCAGCAAAGGCAGAUUUGAAGCUGCAAUUACAGGAAAUUCAGUUCCUCUGAAGAUCCAGAGGCUUCAUGUGACCGACUCUGCUGUGUACUACUGUGCUGUGAGGCCCACAGUGACAGGAAACAGUAAAAGUGUGUAGAAAAACCUGCAGAGCAAAGACAACACAAUACUCCCCAACAUCCACUAGGGGUUAAAGUAGAUGCUGAUUUGUCAAUGUCCAUGCAUGUUAAUGAAAGAUCUUGUUAUGCCCAGCUUCGUCACCUAACACGAUUAAAGCCCAUCCUUAAGAGUUUGGACAAGGAAUAUGUUAUUAAUGUGUUCAUCACCUCAGACUGGACUAUACUAACUCAAAUCUCAUUGGUGUAAAUCUGCCCUCAGCUGUUUGCAGAAAGUCCAGACUGCUGCCUCACCCAUGGUUUCCCACAAGGCUCUGUACUGGGGCCCCUGCUCUUCCUCUAUCUGCUUCCUCUUCAGCACAUCCUGAGCUCCUACAAAUCCUACCAUCUUUAUGCAGAUGACAUCCAACUUUACAUCUCCUUUAAGCCCCAUGAGAUGUCUAAGAUGCAGCUGUUCCACACCUGCUUGGACUCUAUUAAAACCUGGAUGGUGGGAACUUUCUACAGCGAAAUGAUGCUCAGAUAUGUGUUACUCACCCUCAGUGCAUAAGAAUUGGCAGCACUGCACACUCAAGUGUAUUAUGGAAACCCAAUGGGAAUUAGUUUCCUUACAGGUAUCCAAAAGUCACGUUUCACCCGAGACCUGGGCCUUCAUUCCUCAAACGUUGGUAGAAACCAUCUUAAAUUCAGGAAAGAAUGAAAUUCAGGAUGUUUGUCUGAGCGGCCAAAAUCCUGACUUAUGAAACAUGGAGUAGCCGCUCGUACGCAAGUCCCUCCACAGUCAACUGAUGAUAAAUCAGAUGGUCCUGUCAUUAGAGAGACAUUCACUCUGACUUAAUGAAGUACUGUAUGUUUGUAUAGGAUUUAAAAUGUAUUUAAUAAACAGCUGCUAGGUAUGCUGCUAUUAAUGUAACCGUGCAUCAUUUGUUUUUCUAAAUAUUGUUUGAGUUUUCCACAUGCCAACUCCACACGGGCAUGAGG